GCAAUUGACGCCUCCGGCGUUUAGACCACGCGCGUCAUGCGCGGUGUGGUGAGGCAACUCCCACUCUAGGUCGCAGCUACACCCGUGUAUACUACCUUUGUUGCUUUGGCGGGCCGCCUUCGGGCUCGGCUUCGGCUGAUCGUGCCCGCCAGAGGACCAAACUCUGAAUGUUAGUGAUGUCUGAGUACUAUCUAAUAGUUA
rnacentral:misc_RNA from 1 species